GCCAGAGUAGCUCAGCUUGGAUAGAGCAAAGCACUCCUAAUGCUUAGGCCGAGGGUUCAAAUCCCUCCUCUGGCG
rnacentral:tRNA from 1 species